rnacentral:rRNA from 1 species
AAGUGGGAUGACGUCAAGUCCUCAUGGCCCUUAUGGGUAGGGCUUCACACGUCAUACAAUGGUCGGUACAGAGGGUUGCCAAGCCGCGAGGCGGAGCCAAUCCCACAAAGCCGAUCGUAGUCCGGAUUGUUCUCUGCAACUCGAGAGCAUGAAGUCGGAAUCGCUAGUAAUCGCAGGUCAGCAUACUGCGGUGAAUACGCUCCCGGGUCUU